GACGAACCGUGCGAACGUUGUUCGGAUUCACUGGGCUUAAAGGGCGCGUAGGCGGGCUCUCAAGUCGGGGGUGAAAUCCCACAGCUUAACUGUGGAAGUGCCUCCGAUACUGGGAGCCUUGAGGGAGGUAGGGGUGUGUGGAACUUCCGGUGGAGCGGUGAAAUGCGUAGAUAUCAGGAGGAACACCGGUGGCGAAGGCGGAUCUCUGGGCCGUAACUGACGCUGAGGAGCGAAAGCAUGGGUAGCGAACAGG
rnacentral:rRNA from 1 species